GUUGUUUCUUUCUCUUUCUCUUUCUUUUUUUUCUUUCUUCCUUUCUUUCUUUCUUUCUUUCUUUCUUUCUUUCUUUCUUUCUUUCCUUUCUUUCUUUCUUUCUUUCUUCCUUCCUUCCUUCCUUCCUUCCUUCCUUCCUUCCUUCCUUCCUUCCUUCCUUCCUUUCUUUCUUUCUUUCUUUCUUUCUUUCUUUCUUUCUAUUUUUUUUUCUUUUUUCUUUUUGGUUUUUUGAGACAGGGUUUCUCUGUGUAGCCCUGGCUGUCCUGGAACUCACUCUGUAGACCAGGCUGGCCUCGAACUCAGAAAUCUGCCUGCCUCUGCCUUCCAAGUGCAGGGAUAAAAGGCGUGCACCACCAAGCCCAGCUCAAUGUGUUGUUUCUUAAUUGGGGAGCAGGUCUUAAAUCCAAUGAGAAAGCAAUUUGUAAUCCACUAUUGCACUGGUGGGUACCCUCCCCCAACUUGUUAUAGUUUGCAAUGUUUACCGCUGUGUAAGACAGUUAAUUUUUCUUCCAGUAUUCUAGAUAGCACCUUACAGUACUAUGGAAGACAGCCAACGGGUAGGAAGAUACCAUGAUUCCCCUUUUAAAAGCUACAUGAUUUUGUGGAUAAUUAUUAUUAUCUUUAAAGUUAGUGUAGAGUUGGGUGGGGUUGAACACACCCACAGUGAAAACAAAAACAAACUGUGAGCUCCUAUACAUUAAAACACUCAGCAUUUAGUUACAGAUUGGUGAACCAGAGAACUAUUUUAAUUGAGGAAAUUUUUAAGGUGUUUAGGGUUAUGCUUUUUGAAAGUAAUUUUAUUAAAUGUGGCAUAGACCCAGCUGUAUGUGAGUUGAAUUAAUACUGUAUUUUAAAAUUGAAACAUAUUUUUUUACUGAUUUUCCUGGAGGUGAAAAUCACAGGUGGAAAGCCCAUAACCUGGGCUCAGGUCUUCAGUCUGUUUCUAACGGUCUCCGUGACCCGAGUGAGCGAGCUACUUGAUCAGGCAGAACAUUAGUUUAUUACAUGGCAAAGCUGUUGAGUUGGCCUGGUGACCUUUCUGUGAUGUGAUAGCUUGGGCUCUGAUGAGUGCUUUUGAAUACUGUUUUGUUUUUUUUAACAGCCUAGUAUUUAUUUCCUGUUAUGUAGUCAGCCAUCAAUAUAGUUGUGAAUUCUCUAGUUCUUCUAGAUAAUUUACAUGAAUAAAGUAAAAACAAACAAACAAAAAAACCCCUUAACUUUAGGUAAUUUAUUCAGUACAACAUAUUCAAAGUCAGUUAUACAUAUAGUUUCUUUUUAAAACACACCCAUACUAUUUCAUUUUUAAAUUUUGAAAUGCUAACUAAGUCCUGUAUUUGCUGUGGAUCCAUAGAGUCCAGCAAGGACCCUGAAGGGCUCUGUCCCUCAAAGGGGCUUUGGAUUACUGAUCUGGGUUUGUGGCUGAAGUUCUGGCACUAUCAUAUUCGGGCACUGAACACAUUUAGAGAUUUUUGAGAAAGACCUUUAGUUUCUUUUUCUCCUAUCUAGGAAUGUAGCGGUUUGAGUUCUGCAUAAUCUGUUGUGAUUUAAAACUGAAUUUGUUUGCUUCUAAAUAUCUGGCAAGAGUGGCUUGUGAGUCCUUUUUAGUUCCUAGCGUUGUUUAUUCCCCCAGCCUGGUGAAAUCCGAGUUGUUCUAUCUUUAAUAGUCUCUGCCACUUCUUGGAAUAAUUCCACAAUUCCCAGGCCUCCUCACUGAUAAGUCUAUUGGCUACAAUAUUACAGUGAAGUGCUCUUUUAGCAGAGAUUGCUGUUGGGAGCUUUUUCUCUUUUAUAUUUCUUUGUCCCUGUGAUGCCUGGCCUUUCUUCCUGUGCUCUCUUAGGGCUCGGUCUGCUUUCUUCACCCCCUUCUUGCCCUUCACUUUUGCCUUUGCCCAUGAUUCUUGACCUUCUUACCUUCUUGACAUUCCCCCAAGGCUCCUGUGCUUGUAUUUUCUGGCCGUGUGCUUGACAAACCUGUAUGCUGAAAUGCUGUAUGCUCUUCUAACUCAGCCCAGCUUUCUCACCCAUUCUGGAGUUGUGCCCUCUGGUCAUUAUCAGUUCUUAACACAAUACGCUUAAUCAGAAAUCUAAGUUAGAGACUUUACCUUUAAAUCCUUGAGUUUUGCAUCCUAGUAGCUAGCCUUAGGGGGUUCAUCUACAAUAUGUUUAUUGAAUAUUCUACGUCUCACUUUUGUGGUGCUGUAGUUUAGGAACCACAGUGAUCUUUAUUUCAUUUGCCUCAUUCCUGAUGUUCCUGCUUGGUCCUUCUGUUGGCUUCUGCUAUCUUCUUGUACUGCAUAGAAGUCCUAGUUCAGUGUCUUAUUUUUAAUGCUCAAUACCCCUUUUAAUAUUUCACUCUUCUAUAAAAACCCACGAGACCUUAAAAGAUUUACAGUGGUGCAAUUUUAGGCUCCUUGUCGAACACUGAAGGGAAUGAGAUAUCAAGUGUAGUUAGUAUGACCUGCAACGUUCCCUCCACAUAGUAAUAAACUGUAGUAUUUAUAUAACACCUGUAACUAGGUUAGCAAGCAUAUAUCUUGUUUUCUGUGAAAUAUUCCUGGUAUGGAUGCUUUAGUCCCUGGGAAGCAAGAGUUGAUAGCCUCCCACUAACAAUGACUGGUGUACUCAUUAUUUACAGAUAUGCUUUGUAUACUUGUAAGCUAACAUAGAGAACCAUCUUGGUUAGCCUCUACUGAACUUUUACAGGAAAAUAGUAGAUCCCCUGAUGGAAGGAAAUAGAGAGUAAUCCUCACAGUAGCUCUAGUUGAGAUGAGAAAGCAUUACUGUUACCUGUACCUUAGUAUUUUAACUUCAACUCUCCUAGUUUCUCUGAACCCAUAUCUUAUUUCAACUGGAUAGGAUGUUCUUUUUCAUUUUUUCUUAUCUAGUGUAUAAAGAAAUGGAGUUUACUGUGGUGUUUUCAUAUUUACAUUGUACAUUGUUUUUAUUCUUCCCAAACAAGUCCCCAUUUUCUCCUUCCCCAUGCUUGUUGCUCCUACUGUCUUCUUUCAUGACUCAUGUGCAGUGUUAGUCUUUCUUGUUUCCCUUUCUUCCCUGUAGGUCACUUCUUUCUGUCGGAGAUUGGUUCUAAUGCUUUGAUUUAAUCGUGGAUCUGCAUGUUUAAUUGCUGAAGGUCCUUGUCUCCAAUUGGUUUUGAUUGAGCAAUAAAGAUGCCAGCAGCCAAUGGUUGGGCAAAGGGAAAUGGGGUGGGACCUAUAGAUUUGUAUGGGAUAGAACAUGGGAGAGAGGAGGAGAGACAGAGAAUCGAGCAUGAUGGAGUGGGAGAUAGAUCAGAUUUAGAGCUGCAGGAGAGAGAACCAAGGAGCCAUGGAAGGAUUCAGUUAAGUGGCCACUGGCCACUCCCCAAAUUGGGUCUGGAGUAGCAGGUAGAGGAUUAAAACUGCCCAGGCUUGAACUUGAGUCAGUCACAGCAUAUUAAAAUUAACUGGUGAGUGUGUGUGUGUGUGUGUGUGUGUGUGUGUAUGUGUGUGUGUGUUUCAUUUCAUUCCUAGAUACAAAGAGCUGCUGGGUGUUUGGCUGGAAGAGCAUGACCCACAAGGAGCCAAAGCAGAGUAACAAAACUCACUGCUACAUCUUCCUUUUCAUCAUUCCUUCUGUUCAUUGCACAUACACCCCCCCCCCACAUUUUAUUUAUUAUAUAUUAUUGCACUUACACAUUUAAAUCUAAAGUCUACAUGUAAGAUAAAAUAUGCAAUGUUGACUUUCUGAAUCUGGCUAGUUCUCUUUCUGUCUUAUGUAGUCCCCACUGGCUUCAAACCCAGUAUAUAUGUAGGAGAGAUAGGCAUGUCCUUGGACUCCUGGUUUUUCUGCCUCUAUUUUCAGGCAAGGAUGUUGGGCAUGCAGCACCACUCUACCUUAUGGAAGUCCACAUAGUUCUUUACAAUGCAGUGAUUUCCUUUCAGCCAUAUCAUAUGCUUUAACUGAAAACAGGCUUCCAUUGCAUACCAUCAUGGAGGAGGAUAACUAUUAGUUGGAGUACGGUAUUUCUUGGAAACUACUACUACUACUACUACUACUACUAUUACUACUACUACUACUACUACUACUACUACUUCUUUCUAAGUACUUUGACAAGAUAUGAUUUUUGCUUUUACUUCUUGAGUGUUUGUUUAAAAUAUAAUUGCUUAAUUUGAAUGAGAAUCAGUGGUCAUAGCAGCAAUGGGUAAAUUGUCUACAGAAGUAUUUUUACUUAAGUGGAGAAUGUUUGCUCUUAUCUCAGAAAAACAAGGUAAGGACUGAUCAUCAUAUUUCGUAGACUUACUUUUCUAUGAUUCCAGUGUGAACUCUCAGAUUAUUUUCUUCAUUUUCAUCAAACAUCAUCAAACAUUUAUUGUGCUUAAAUAUGAGCAAUAUCUCCGUAAACUAUG
rnacentral:lncRNA from 1 species